rnacentral:lncRNA from 10 species
CUUGAAUGUACUUUGGAAUGUGAAAUAGUAUUCACACUAUAUUUUUCUUUCUUUUUUCUUUGAGACAGGGUCUCAUUUUGUCACCAAGGCUGGAGUGCAAUGGUGCAUUGGCACAAUCACAGUUGACUGCAGCCUUGACCUCCUGGGCUCAAGCAAUCUUCCCACCUUAGCCUCCUGAGCAGCUGGGACUGGGACUAUAGGCACACCCUACCAUGCCUGGCUAUUUUGUGUAAGUGUGUGGAAAUGGCCUCUGACUACAUUGCCCAGCCUGGUCUUAAACUCCUGAGCUAAAGCAUCCUCCCACCUUGGCCUUCCAAAGUGAUGGGAUUACAGAUGUGAACAACUGCACCCAGCUCUUAAACAAGCUUAUGAAUCAAGAACCACGUUCCAUAAAGAAAGUAUUAAGGACCCUAUUGCUUGUUAUCUGAUGAACAAAAAUCAUUUCCACACAACUCUUGAUCCAAUUUUUCUACAUUAAAUUCCUUCCAAAUGGAUUUGGUAAGCAAUGUAAACCCUGGCCAAAUUUUGAGGUAGGCGGUUUGUUUUUAAUGCUGUCUACCUUUUGUGAAGGAGCAAGUGACAUAAAGGUAACUAGAUAACUUGUGCAGAGUAAAGACAAAAGUGAAGGAAAUUAUUAGCAUCCUGCCUGUUUUGGAUCAUAGAGGACACUUCGUCAAUUGGUGCAAGGCAUAAAUCUGUGUAAGUAAUUCCAUAAUAUGGUCAGUUUACUAAUGUGGCCAAAACACCCAUGUGAUUGAAAAGCCCUAAGUGUCCAGAAUACUACCUGACCAGAACCCAGUUAUGCAACCCCUCAUCUUCAACCUCACCUCUUCUACUGCUCCUAAGACAACUAUUAAAAUGUAUGGAUACCUCCAAUCAGUAUAGUAAGUACUGUUACUCCAUAUGGUUCACUCAUUUCAGCUACCCAGGUACUAUUCCAUGGGUCUUCAUUAU